rnacentral:sRNA from 1 species
GCGGAGGAAAAGAAACCAACAGGGAUUGCCCCAGUAACGGCGAGUGAAGCGGCAACAGCUCAAAUUUGAAAUCUGGCCCCCCCCGCGGGGUCCGAGUUGUAAUUUGAAGAGGAUGCUUCUGGCGAGGCGCCGUCCGAGUUCCCUGGAACGGGACGCCGCAGAGGGUGAGAGCCCCGUACGGUCGGACGCCGAGCCUAUGUGAAGCUCCUUCGACGAGUCGAGUAGUUUGGGAAUGCUGCUCAAAAUGGGAGGUAAACCCCUUCUAAAGCUAAAUACCGGCCAGAGACCGAUAGCGCACAAGUAGAGUGAUCGAAAGAUGAAAAGCACUUUGAAAAGAGAGUUAAAAAGCACGUGAAAUUGUUGAAAGGGAAGCGCUUGCGACCAGACUCGCGCCCGUCGGAUCAGCCGUCGCUCGUCGGCGGCGCACUCCGGCGGGCUCGGGCCAGCAUCGGUUCGCCUCGGGGGGAGAAAGGCGGCGGGAAUGUGGCUCUACGGAGUGUUAUAGCCCGCCGUGCAAUACCCCCGGGCGGACCGAGGACCGCGCGUA